UAAAGUGGUUGCAGCGGAGCUUCCUCAUAUUUUCCUAGAAAGAAUUUUCCAUUACCUUUCUUUCUUUAAAGUUGGUUGCAGCGGAGCUUCCUCAUAUUUUCCCAGAAAUUUCCUGUGUUGUAGGUGAAGCUUAGUUUAAGCUCAGGUGAGUGAAUAGCGGCUCUUCUGCAAACCAAGGAACUUCAUUUGGCCGUUUUUUCAUCAGCUGCUUCGCUCCGAUCAUCGUCUUCGAACAAGCUUCUCAAAAGAGGUGAAGCUUAGUUUAAGCUCAGGUGAGUGAAUAGCGGCUCUUCUGCAAACCAAGCAACUUCAUUUGGCCGUUUUCUUCAUCAGCUGCUUCUCUCCGAUCAUCGACUUCGAACAAGCUUCUCAAAAGGGCCAUGGACUUUGUUCUGAAUAAGAUAGAUAAACACUUGGACAAUCAUAGAAGCCUUGAUCAACAUCGGAAGGACCUUAAAAGGAAAUUGGAGGAAUUGAAUGGUUUGAAGGA